UAAGUGGGGGAGAGUGGUCGGGAGAGGAACGAUUCUCCUGACCCUGGUUUUCCAUGUAACAGUUAUUGGAGGUGGCUUGUCAUUUUAAGUUCUUUCUUUCGCCUCUUUAGUAUUUAUAUGAAUCUUUUUUAAAAGCUACCUAGGUAUGCCUCUGUGUAGCUUUGGCCUAUAGGGAUGAAAUCAAGAGAAAACAGGGACUCCCAGUUCCCGUAAAGGAGGCGGAGCCUGACUCAGGUUUCAGCUGCAAACCAUCCCUGUCCUGAAGAAGUGUGUUUUCCUUUGAGUAGAGACAGUCAGCUCCCCCUGGUGGUGACUUCAUUUUCCAGGCACGGAUCCCUGGAUCUGGGAGCUUUUCCUUUCACUCACUCGUGUCAAAAGAGCACAAGGCCACCGUGUGUCCUAGGGAACACAGGGAGGUUUUGAAGAAUUCUGUAUUAGGAAGACCGAGAAUGUUCUAGGCUCAGUGUGAUCAGCAAGCCUGCAAUGAAC
rnacentral:lncRNA from 1 species